rnacentral:lncRNA from 1 species
AUGGGAUUAUGUAUCUCACAGUUUUCCUCAUGUAUGUUUUAUUUUAUUUUAUUUUAUUUUGAGAGAGAGAGAGAGAGAGAGAGAGAGAGAGAGAGAGAGAGAGAAACAGAGGGCACAAGUGAGCAAGGGGCAGAGAGAGAGAGAGAGAGAGAGAGAAAGAAUCCCAGGAGGGGCAGAAAGAGAGAAGCGGGGCUCACCCAAAGCAGGGUUUGUGUUCACCCAAAGCAGGGCGUGAGCUCACCCAAUGUGGGACUCGAACUCACGAACCAUGAGAUCAUGACCUGAGCUGAAGUCAGAUGCUUCAUGACUGAGCCACCCAGAUAUCCCUUCAUGAAGGUUUUUAAAUUGCCUUAUCUCAACUGAAAUACUUACCUGGUAUCUUAAUUAGGACUUUCUGUGUGCAAGUAAUAUAAAAUCCUACCCAAUCUGCUUUGGGAUGGUGGGAUGGUGGGCAUGUGGGGGAGAAAGGGAACGUAUUGACUCUUACAAGUAGAUGGCUUCAGGCAUGGCUGCAUCCAGGAGUUUAGGGAAUGUUACCUGGACUGAGUUUUUUUUUAAUCUCUCAGAUCUGCUUUCUUCUUUAUUGGUUUUUAAAAAUGUUUUCCUUUUUUAUUUUGAGAGAGAGAGAGCAAGUGGAGGAGGGACAGAGAGAAAUGGAGAGAGGAUCCCAAGCAGGCUCUGAAUUGACAACGUGUAGCCUGACUCAGGGCUUGGGCUUACAACCGUGAGAUCAUGAGCUGAGCCGAGAUCAAGAGUCAGAGGCUUAACUGACUGAGCCACCCAGGUGCCCCUAACUUUUUUUUAGGGAGAGCACGAGAAAGCAAGUGCGAGCAGGGGAGAGGGAUGGGGGCAGUACAGAGAGAGAGACAGAAAGACAGAGAGAGGGAGAAUCUUAAGCAGACUCCACCGCUCAGUACAAAGCCUGAUGCAGGGCUCGAUUCUACCAUCCUGGGAUCAUGACCUGAGCCAGAAUCAGAACUGGCUGAGCCACCCAGGUGCCCCCCUUUUAGCAUCUUUAGAGAUGGUCAGUCAUAUGGUUUUUAGUUUUGACCUAGUAACAUGGUGUUGGUUUGCAACCACCUUGGGGGCAUCCCAGGUGAACUCUAACAUCACCCCCCAUAUUCUGAGGGCAGAGAGAGACCAAAGAAAGGCCACUCCAGGCUGGUGACAGCCAUUCAACAAGGGAACUUACAUAUGAAGCUUGUCUUGGGUGGCUGUAAGAUGAUCUACACACUUGCCCACAAAAUUUUAAAAGCUUCUGUAAUGUGAUAAGAAGGACACUUCUCUGUGGUAUUCUUUCCAGAAGCCCAUUACUCCAGUCAAGUCACGAGGAACACAUCAGACCAACUGAGGACCAUUCUACCAAAUACCUAACUGGGACCCCUCAAAACUGUCAAAGUCAUGAAAUAUAAGGAAAGACUGGGAAACGGUAACAGACAAGAGGAGACUAAGGAGGCAUGACGACAAAAUGCUAUAUGAUGUUCUGGAUUGGAUCCAGGAAAGAAAAAGGACUUUAAAGAAAAAAUGGUGAAGUCUGAAGAAAGUCUGGAGUUUAAUAGUAAUGUACUGAUGUCUUCUUGAUUUUGACAAAUGGGCCAUGGUAAUGGGAGAUGAUAACAUUAUGAGAAACAACCUGAGUGAGGGGUAUGUGGGAACUCUAUCUUUUGUGGCUUUUUAAAAAAUAUAUUUUAUUUUUAAGUAAUCUCUAUAAAAAUUGUUCCAAAAUAAAAACAAUUUUU